CCAACAACAAAGCUGCUCCUGCCCAUUGCUUCUAAUUCCUGGGUUUUCGUUUGUUUUUCCCGGUUGCAGGAGAUGGCAAAAGCAGGAUUACUAGGAAGUGAUGGAAUAGAACUAUCUAGAAAGGUGUUGGUACCUCAGAGAACAGAACCCACUCCUGGGCAAGUCACCUGACCCUUUACCUGAGUUUCCCAUGGCUAAAGCAAGUCAAAUCAGUUCUCUCCUACUGUUUCAGGUGAGUAUACAUUGGAUACAUUUUUAAGAACCAUGUAGGAGUUCAAUGUUAUAACACUGAACAUA
rnacentral:lncRNA from 1 species